rnacentral:rRNA from 1 species
GACCAGACUCCUACGGGAGGCAGCAGUGGGGAAUAUUGCACAAUGGGGGAAACCCUGAUGCAGCGACGCCGCGUGGGCGACGAAGCGCUCCGGCGCGUAAAGCCCUGUCAGCAGGGAAGAACAAAGACAGUACCUGACCAAGAAGCCCCGGCUAACUACGUGCCUGCAGCCGCGGUAAUACGUAGGGGGCAAGCGUUAUCCGGAUUCACUGGGCGUAAAGGGAGCGCAGGCGGCACGGCAAGUCUGGUGUGAAAGCCCGGGGCCCAACCCCGGGACUGCAUUGGAAACUGCCGGGCUGGAGUGCAGGAGAGGUAAGCGGAAUUCCUAGUGUAGCGGUGAAAUGCGUAGAUAUUAGGAGGAACACCAGUGGCGAAGGCGGCUUACUGGACUGUAACUGACGUUGAGGCUCGAAAGCGUGGGGAGCAAACAGGAUUAGAUACCCCCGUA